rnacentral:misc_RNA from 1 species
GUGCCUGAUAGUACAAUGCGCAAAUGGAAAGAGGCAUGGAGUAGGCCAGAUUUCAAAGCUAGGAGUGAACAAUUCACUGCUAACUGCCGUAGUGAGACAGGAGGAGUCAGAGCAGGCAUUUCACGCUAUACAAGGGACUCGCUAUCACACGCUUCGCAUGCAAAAAGAAAUCUCAACUUGGCCAAGCAUCUCUCCCUUAUGAGCUUUUUGAGGCAACCUAUACUGGGAAGGGUACCUCUGAUCUAGUUGAUGUAAGAGCACAGUCGAUUAAGAUUACGUAGGAUACAUUUAUGGCCCUUAAGGAGCAGUCCUCGUCUCAUCAACACGAGGGAAGCACUGACCCUCCUACAGUGGAUGAGGCUACACUAUACUAUCAAGUUGCAGGUGGUGAGAAAAAGCAUUGAGUGUAUGGAGUUGAAUCCCAAGCUUCUGCUUUCUACUCUCAAUCAUCUCAUGCAUAAUAUUCUACUACUUCACAGAAUAUGUAGUUCGAUGCACUACAGACUGAGCUUCACUAGGUUCACCAAACCGUUGAGACACUCCAACACGGAAAUCAAUAGCUAAGGGGCAAUUUGGCUACUAUGGAGCAAAGAGACCAUAUAUGCGAGUAACAAAUGCAGCAAAUGCAAGAUAUGGUAUUGCAGAUGCUUUAAGGGACACAUUCUUUUUCCCUAGCUUU